CCUUGGAUGUUUGAAAAAUUCAGCUCCCCAAGCCUGUUUUACUCAGCAACGUGAAAUUUGGUAAGAUUUUGUGUCACGGGUAAACAAAGCCACCAAGAAUUCUCAAGAAGCCACGCAUGCAAGGACACAUCACUGCCAAAAUGUCUGCACACUCAGGACAGGAGGGGGGGGGAAAGAGGAAAUUAAUUCCUCUUUGAGAGAGAAAAUUACUUUAGCAGAACACCACGGCUGGAACGCCGCCACGGUUGGAGACGGACGAAGACGAAGACGAAGACGAAGAAGAAGAAGAAGAAGAAGUAGGGGCUUCAGUAUUCGGUACAAACAAGUCCGAAUUGAAAGUUACGCGCCAUCGGUGCAGUACCAUGUUUUGCCACGGCAUGCUGGGCAGCACUGAGCUCCACCGGAAGAGUUGCAACAGCAAUGAACAGCAAGAAGAAGAGGCACAGGUCCCCAACUCAUCUCCACUAAGAAUCGCCGU